rnacentral:rRNA from 1 species
GACGAACGCUGGCGGCGUGCUUAACACAUGCAAGUCGAACGGAAAGGCCCUGCUUUUGUGGGGUGCUCGAGUGGCGAACGGGUGAGUAACACGUGAGUAACCUGCCCUUGACUUUGGGAUAACUUCAGGAAACUGGGGCUAAUACCGGAUAGGAGCUCCUGCUGCAUGGUGGGGGUUGGAAAGUUUCGGCGGUGGGGGAUGGACUCGCGGCUUAUCAGCUUGUUGGUGGGGUAGUGGCUUACCAAGGCUUUGACGGGUAGCCGGCCUGAGAGGGAGACCGGCCACAUUGGGACUGGGAUAGGGCCCAGACUCCUACGGGAGGAAGGAGUGGGGAAUAUUGCGCAAAGGGCGGAGGCAGGAUGCAGCAACGCCGCGUGGGGGAUGACGGCCUUCGGGGUGGAAACCGCUUUCGCGUGUGACGAAGCGUGAGUGAGGGUAAUGAGUAAAGAAGCACCGGCUAACUACGU